UACGUAGGGCGCAAGCGUUAUCCGGAAUUAUUGGGCGUAAAGAGCUCGUAGGCGGUUUGUCGCGUCUGCCGUGAAAGUCCGGGGCUCAACUCCGGAUCUGCGGUGGGUACGGGCAGACUAGAGUGAUGUAGGGGAGACUGGAAUUCCUGGUGUAGCGGUGAAAUGCGCAGAUAUCAGGAGGAACACCGAUGGCGAAAGCGCGUGACUGGGCCACAACUGACGCUGAGGAACGAAAGCCAGGGGAGCGAAAGGG
rnacentral:rRNA from 1 species